rnacentral:lncRNA from 1 species
GACCAAAACGCAGCAGGUACGUGAAUGCUCAUCUUGAUUUUUAAUUACUCUCAAAAAUGAACAUACCAAAUAACGAAAAAACGAACACUCGACAAAUAAACAGUCUGGUAAGGCACAAGGCUAUACACAGAAUAAUCACCCACAAAUCACAAACACAAACACACCCUAAUAUAUGGGACUCUCAAUCAAAGGCAGAUAGACAACACCUGCCUUCAACUGAGAGUCCCAACCCCAAUUAACCAAACAUAGACAUACACUCACUAGACUCCACAUAGAACUACCUAGACAUAAACCAAAACCCGGAAAUACUAAACCAAACACCCUUUUAACAAACACACCACCCCGAACCACAUAAAACAAAUACCCUCUGCCACGCCCUGACCAAACUACAAAACAAUUAACUUUAUAUACUGGCCAGGACGUGACAACUCUAUAAGUAGGCUGACUUUCACCACUACACAAUAUAUCCAUCAACAACAAUCUUUCAACUCUAUAAGUAGGCUGACUUUCACCAUUAUACAAUAUAUCCAUCAACAACAAUCUUUCAACUCUACUCUAUAAGUAGGCUGACUUUCACCACGACACAAUAUAUCCAUCAACAACAAUCUUUCAACUCUACUCUAUAAGUAGGCUGACUUUCACCACGACACAAUAUAUCCAUCAACAACAAUCUUUCAACUCUACUCUAUAAGUAGGCUGACUUUCACCAUUACACAAUAUAUCCAUCAACAACAAUCUUUCAACUCUAUAAGUAGGCUGACUUUCACCAUUACACAAUAUAUCCAUCAACAACAAUCUUUCAACUCUAUAAGUAGGCUGACUUUCACCAUUACACAAUAUAUCCAUCAACAACAAUCUUUCAACUCUACUCUAUAAGUAGGCUGACUUUCACCACUACACAAUAUAUCCAUCAACAACAAUCUUUCAACUCUAUAAGUAGGCUGACUUUCACCACUACACAAUAUAUCCAUCAACAACAAUCUUUCAACUCUACUCUAUAAGUAGGCUGACUUUCACCACUACACAAUAUAUCCAUCAACAACAAUCUUUCAACUCUACAUGUAACAUUUAACAGUUUAUUUUAAGUAAAGUUCGACCAACAUGUCUAUCUGCAACAAUCUUUUCCCAAACCUAAUAUGUGUCUGCAAAAACCUCCCCACUCAACAUAUCACGAUUCAAUCAGACAUUUUUAACACUGAAUAAUAAC